rnacentral:tRNA from 1 species
GGGGCUGUAGCUCAGUUGGCCAGAGCGCCUGCUUUGCAAGCAGGAUGUCGGGGGUUCGACUCCCCCCAGCUCCACCA